rnacentral:tRNA from 1 species
GCGUCGCUUAGUGGUUAUGGCAUUCGGCUUACGAUCGUAAGAUCGCGAGUUCAAUUCCCGGCGACGCG